AUGCAGAGAGGUAAAGUGACAAGCUUAAUUUCAUUACACAAAAGAAACAUAUUCAACCCGAUUUGCGUAUGUAAAUUGUUCAUUCAAUACCUUUUUCAUUGUUGUUCAGAUCGUAACACUAAACCCACUUUCACACAGAUCCUGGUAGCCUCAUCGAUCGGGAUCAUUGUUGCCGCAGCAGUGCGGUAUCAUGUAAAGAAGCGAAGGGAUCAAAAGAUCAUUCCACGCUUAAGAGCAAGGGACACAGGCCAUGGUCGCAUUGAAAAGCUCGAAAGCUUCCCUCAUUACGUAGCUAGGCAGAUGGGAUUUAAAGAUAGAAGACAUUGCCCUUUGCUCUGCAAGUUAGCAACAGAAUACAUCAGGAAAUGCGAUGGUUGCGAAGAGGAUAUAUAUACAUAUUUCUCUAAUGAACCAGAUGUGGAUUCACUGUUUGUUAAGCUCGUGGAAGAGUUUGAGAGAUGCAUUCUUAGUUAUUUUGCAUUUCAUUGGAGUCAUGCAGAUCUUAUGAUUAGUCAGGUCAGCAUCAACAUGUAUAUACUAUGUUGGUAAUAUAUUGCUUCAAAUAUAUGAAAAAACUAUAAAAAACUAUGAUAGAUACAUGUAUUAAGUUCUGAUGCUGAACCCAAGAGAAAGCUCAAGCAGAUUGUCAUGGCUGCAACUAGGGAACAAAGAUUUGAGAGGGUGACAAAAAGUCUGAAGGUGGCUAGGGUUUUCAAUACAUUGGUGGAAGAAAUGAAAGCAAUGGGACUCACCUCAACUGAUGAUUCUCGAUGUACAGAGGUGAUGGCUCCAGUGGCUCACAGUGAUAGAAGCCCAGUGCUGCUACUCAUGGGAGGUGGGAUGGGAGCUGGGAAGAGUACCGUCCUUAAGGACAUCCUCAAAGAAACAUUCUGGGCAGGCGCAGCAGGAAAUGCAGUAGUGAUCGAGGCAGAUGCAUUCAAAGAAUCAGAUGUCAUAUACAGAGCCCUCAGCUCCAAAGGUCAUGCAGACAUGGUUCAUACAGCAGAACUGGUGCACCAAUCAUCUACGGAUGCAGCAUCAUCCCUCCUAGUGACAGCACUCAAUGAAGGGCGGGACGUGAUCAUGGAUGGAACACUCUCCUGGAUACCAUUUGUUGUGCAAACAAUAACUAUGGCCAGAUGUGUCCAUCGCCGGCGAUAUCGUAUGGGUGUUGGUUACAAGCGAAAACCUGACGGGACUGUAAUUGAGAACUACUGGGAGCAAAUUGAAGAAGAUCAAUUGCAAGGAGGGAAAAGGAGGAAGCCAUACAGAAUAGAGCUGGUUGGGGUUGUUUGUGAAGCUUAUUUAGCGGUCAUUAGAGGCAUAAGGAGAGCUAUAAUGUGUAGACGCGCUGUAAGGGUGCAGUCACAAUUGAAAUCCCACAAGAGAUUUGCAAAUGCGUUUCCAACAUAUUGCCAACUGGUUGACAGUGCUAGGCUGUAUUCCACCAAUGCUUUGGAAGGUCCACCUAAGUUGAUAGGAUGGAAAGAAAGAGAGAGAACCUUGCUAGUUGAUCCAGAUGAAAUUGACUGUUUAAAGAAAGUGGGCAGGCUGAAUGAAGAAGCUGAGUCCAUAUAUGAACUUUACAAGCACCCCAACCCGGCAUGUGAAGCUGGUUCAAUCUGGAAAGACAUUGUACUAUCACCUUCUAGACUAAAUAUUCAAAAGGAGCUGAAGUUUACCAUCCAGAAAGUGGAAAGAAUGACACAGCACAAAAAGAGUUAAAAGCUUAUGAAUAUUCACCAAAAAAUUUACAUGCUGAAGGUGUCUCAAACCUUUUUCUAUAGUUAUGACCAAGAAUGUCUACUAAGGUUGUAUUAAAUCAUGAAGAA